rnacentral:rRNA from 1 species
UAGAGUUUGAUCCUGGCUCACCUUGAACGCUGGCGGCAUGCCUUACACAUGCAAGUCGAACGGCAGCAUGAUCUAGCUUGCUAGAUUGAUGGCGAGUGCCCAACGGGUGAGNNNNNNAUCGGAACGUGCCCUGUAGUGGGGGAUAACUAGUCGAAAGAUUAGCUAAUACCGCAUACGACCUGAGGGUGAANNNNNGGGACCGCAAGGCCUCAUGCUAUAGGAGCGGCCGAUGUCUGAUUAGCUAGUUGGUGAGGUAAAGGCUCACCAAGGCGACGAUCAGUAGCUGGUCUGAGAGGACGAUCAGCCACACUGGGACUGAGACACGGCCCAGACUCCUACGGGAGGCAGCAGUGGGGAAUUUUGGACAAUGGGCGAAAGCCUGAUCCAGCAAUGCCGCGUGUGUGAAGAAGGCCUUCGGGUUGUAAAGCACUUUUGUCCGGAAAGAAAUGGCCUUGGUUAAUACCUGAGGUCGAUGACGGUACCGGAAGAAUAAGGACCGGCUAACUACGUGCCAGCAGCCGCGGUAAUACGUAGGGUCCAAGCGUUAAUCGGAAUUACUGGGCGUAAAGCGUGCGCAGGCGGUUGUGCAAGACCGAUGUGAAAUCCCCGGGCUUAACC